rnacentral:rRNA from 1 species
GGUUAGCCUCUAUAUCUAGGUCUAUACCCGAACUCUUAUCGAACUCGAGCGUCCUUAUCUAGAAAGCCACACAUACUAAUGUUAAUUGGGAACCAUGGCUAUAUAUUUAAAUAUCCUAUGUUUUUGGUUAUGCG